GAUGAACGCUAGCGGCAGGCUUAAUACAUGCAAGUCGAACGGGAUUUAGGAGCUUGCUUCUAAUGAGAGUGGCGCACGGGUGAGUAACACGUACACAAUCUACCUUGUACAGGGGGAUAGCCUUGGGAAACUGAGAAUAAUACCCCAUAGUUUUUCGGGAUCGCAUGAUUUUGGAAAUAAAGCUGAGGCGGUACAAGAUGAGUGUGCGGAUGAUUAGGUAGUUGGUAGGGUAACGGCCUACCAAGCCGACGAUCAAUAGCUGGCGUGAGAGCGCGACCAGCCACACUGGAACUGAGACACGGUCCAGACUCCUACGGGAGGCAGCAGUAGGGAAUAUUGGACAAUGGGCGGAAGCCUGAUCCAGCCAUGCCGCGUGGAGGAUUAAGGCCCUAGGGUU
rnacentral:rRNA from 1 species